rnacentral:lncRNA from 1 species
AAUGACUAUACAUGUAUUUGUAUAAUUGUAUACUUUCUAGUUUUGCUCCGCGUUCCAAGGAUAGGCAUAUAUCUUGACGAUAAAAAUCGACAUAAUUAUGACAGCUUUAAUUUAUGAAUACAGAGUAAAAUAUUGAAAGGAGGUUCGGAAAAUAAGCAGAAUUAUUAGUUGAUCAAGGCUAUGUGAUUUCGUUAUUAAAACUUGAAACUUGAAACUUGAGAAUUUUCUUAAACGCCUAUUUCAACACACAAAGCAUCUUCAAUGGCGUUGUACACUCAUGCAUUAAAAACAUUAAAAACAAUUCAUCAGUAUUAACACAAAGUCUUGAUUUGCUUCAAUGUAAUUGCUGUAGUAUGAAUUUUAGAACAAUGAAUAGUAGUCUUUGAAGAAGUGAGUUUUCAACUGCUUUUUGAAGAA